rnacentral:rRNA from 1 species
AAGCUGGAGUUACUAGUAAUCGCAGAUCAGAAUGCUGCGGUGAAUGCGUUCCCGGGUCUUGUACACACCGCCCGUCACACCACGGAAGUUGGGGGCGCCCGAAGCCACUUAUCUAACCCUUUCGGGAAGCGAGUGUCGAAGGUGAAAUCAAUAACUGGGGUGAAGUCGUAACAAGGUAGC